UACGAAGGGGGCUAGCGUUGCUCGGAUUGACUGGGCGUAAAGGGCGCGUAGGCGGUUCGUACAGUCAGACGUGAAAUUCCUGGGCUCAACCUGGGGCUGCGUUUGAUACGUGCGGACUUGAGUGCGGAAGAGGGUCGUGGAAUUCCCAGUGUAGAGGUGAAAUUCGUAGAUAUUGGGAAGAACACCGGUGGCGAAGGCGGCGACCUGGGUAGAUACUGACGCUGAGGCGCGAAAGCGUGGGGAGCAAACAGGG
rnacentral:rRNA from 1 species